rnacentral:rRNA from 1 species
CGGACGGGUGAGUAACGCGUGGGCAACCCUGCCCCGCACUGGGGGACAACAGCCGGAAACGGCUGCUAAUACCGCAUAUGCGCACAGCUUUGCAUGAAGCAGUGUGGAAAACUCCGGUGGUGCGGGAUGGGCCCGCGUCUGAUUAGCUGGUUGGCGGGGCAACGGCCCACCAAGGCGACGAUCAGUAGCCGGCCUGAGAGGGUGGACGGCCACAUUGGGACUGAGACACGGCCCAAACUCCUACGGAAGGCAGCAG